rnacentral:tRNA from 1 species
GGCUCGGUAGCUUAGUUGGUAAAGCGCUCGUCUAGCAUACAAGAGUCCUGUGUUCGAAUCGCGCAUUAAUCCA